rnacentral:lncRNA from 1 species
UCUUAAAUAUAUGCUAAUUCAGAGAUGCAUAGCUCAUUGUUGCAUCCGCUCAGAUUGAUAGCCGGACCAACUACUCAAAACCGCAGCUUAGCCAACUACUUAAAUUGCUAGCACAAUUAUUUAUCUAAGUUGGCAGGCCAAUAUGAGUCAAUAAAUCCAUGCCACAUCAUAAUGCCCAUCAAUAUAUGUGUGCGUAACAAGAAAAGAAGUCCCAAUAUUGUUGAUAGGGCUACAAGGUCACUAUAAUUCAUAGGCUAGUUGGAUUCUCAGAUUCAAUAAUUGGUGCUUAUGAAGUUUAGUCUUGCC